UACGGAGGGUGCAAGCGUUAUCCGGAUUUAUUGGGUUUAAAGGGUCCGUAGGCGGACUGGUAAGUCAGUGGUGAAAUCCUGCAGCUUAACUGUAGAACUGCCAUUGAUACUGCCGGUCUUGAAUUUGGUUGAAGUGGGCGGAAUAUGGCAUGUAGCGGUGAAAUGCUUAGAUAUGCCAUAGAACACCGAUUGCGAAGGCAGCUCACUAAGCCUGGAUUGACGCUGAUGGACGAAAGCGUGGGUAGCGAACAGG
rnacentral:rRNA from 1 species